CUGAGAGGAGGCCACCACAGGAAACUGUGAAGCAGAAGCUGCAAUGGAGACCUCCCAGGACACUGGGGAUGGUAGGACCAUGGGACGCCUGCUGAGGAAAGCUGAAUGAGAUGUGCAUACAACAGCUAUCUGAAAGAUGGAUAUGAAUGAGAGGAUACACUUCAGCCUGGAAGAUACAGAAGGAAAUAAAAGCUCUGGACACACCUGAAGCAUGAGGAAGAUUUGCGCUGAGCUGAGGACAUAUGAACCCAGUGAAGCUAGUAUCACCGAGGAGACACAGAAGAUUGCUUUCUCUCUGUCUAUCCUUCAAGAAGUGAAAGGCUCUGAAAUUUACUGUAAACACAUCUUCCUGAAAACAGAGCAGGAGCUAGAGGAAGUGUGGAUCUGAUGUGGGCCUCCAUUCCACUCUGUUUCCUG